GUAGAUUUCUAGUCGUGGCGGCAGUCAUGGCGGCUGCGUCGGGUUCAGUUCGCCUACAGCGCUGCGUGGUGUCGCCGGCUGGGAGGCACAGCGCCUCUCUGAUCUUCCUGCAUGGCUCAGGUGAUUCUGGACAAGGAUUGAGAACGUGGAUCGAGCAAGUUUUAAAUCAAGAUUUCACAUUCCAACAUGUAAAAGUUAUUUAUCCAACAGCUCCUCCCAGGCCAUAUACUCCUUUGAAAGGAGGAUUCUCCAAUGUAUGGUUUGACAGAUUUCAAAUAUCUAAUGACUGCCCAGAACACCUUGAAUCAAUUGAUAUAAUGUGUCAGGUGCUUACAGAUUUGAUUGAUGGUGAAGUAAAAAGUGGUAUCAAGAAGAACAGGAUAUUAGUAGGAGGAUUUUCUAUGGGAGGGUGCAUGGCAAUGCAUUUAGCAUACAGAAAUCAUCAGGAUGUGGCAGGAGUAUUUGCUCUUUCUAGUUUUCUGAAUAAGACAUCUGCUGUUUACCAGGCUCUUCAGAAAAGUGAUGGUGUCCUCCCUGAAUUAUUUCAGUGUCAUGGUACCGCAGAUGAGUUAGUUCUUCAUUCUUGGGGUGAAGAGACAAACUCAGUGUUAAAAUCUCUAGGCGUGAGGACAAAGUUUCAUAGUUUCCCAGGUGUUUACCAUGAGUUAAGCAAAGCUGAGCUAGAAAAACUGAAGUCAUGGAUUCUUACAAAGCUGCCAGACUGAAUGAGUCAAGAUUGAUUUGUUAAUAUAUAAGCAAUGUCUUUAUGAAAAGUGAUUUUUACUGCCAAAUUCUAAUUUGAUAAACAAUAAUUAAAAUAUUAAAAAAUAUCAGCAGUUUACUGACUUAUUAGUUAUUGAAAUGCUUAGCACCAUAGAGAGUAGUAUAAUCUUAUUAAUGGUUAACGUUAAUUUAGGCAAACAUCUGUGUAUUAUUUGGCAGAUACAUUUUUAUAAAUAUUUGAAGGCCUUGUAAGUAAGUAAAUAUUGAACUAUUAGAAAGUAAUUAAACUAGCUUAAAUAAAGGCAAUGAGAAACCAGGAAAAGUUUUAACAUGAUAUUAUUUUAUCUUUGUUGUCACUUUCUUUAAAUUGCCUUUCCGGAGAUAUUCAUGCUCGUGUAGUUUUUGACAGAAUAACAUUAGUACCCCACAUUUAUAGAGUAGUUUCCCGUUACCUCACCUGACCAUCACAAGAGCUUGAUGAAGUAGACUGAGUAGUUGUUACUGGUAUUUUAUAAUAGGGAGAGAAGGAUUGAAAACUUUCCCAAAGCCUCAAGAGUAAAAACUGGAAUCCAGACCUUCUGGUCCCAGUGGAGCUCCCUUUCUCUGAGACCAGAUUGCUGCUCUGCUCCAGUCCUAGGGUUCCGGUUGCUCUUCAGAUCCUUGUCAGCACUCAGUAUGGCCAGUCUUUUCAGUUUUAUCCAUUCUAGUGGGUAUACAGUGGUAACACUUUGUGGGUUUAAUCUGCAUUUUCCUAACCUAAUGGUGUUAAGCAAUUUCUAUAUGCUUAUUUGUGAUCUGUAUAAAUUCUGAUGAUAUCUCUAUUCAGAUCUUCUGCCCAUUUUUUAUUAGGGCAUUGUAACAGCUUGCAUUGUAAAAGCUGUUUAUAUAUGCUGGAUAGAAAUUCUUUGUUAGCCAGAUGUUUUACCUUUUUUUUUUUUUCUUAGUCUGUGGCUUGCCUUAUUUUCUUUACAGUGUAAUUCAAAAGAGCAGAAGUUUUUAAUUUGAUGACGUCCAGUUUAUUCAUUUUUUUUCAUUUAUACUUUGUGCUUUUGAUGUCAUAUUUAAGCAAUCUUAAGAAAUCCUAGGUCACUAAGAUUUUCUCUUAUAUUUUCUUCAACUAAUACACUCCUUUAGUGCUAUAAAUCUUCCCGCAAGUAUUAUAUUAGUAACAUCCCACGAUCUUUUAUAUUUUGUGUUUUCAUUUUCAUUCAGGUCAAAUCUUUCUAAAUUCCCUUUUGAUUUCUUCUUUAACCCUUGGGUUACUUAAAAUUGUGUUAUUUUGUUUCAGUAUAUUGGGAAUUUUCUAGAGAUCUUUGCUAUUGAUGUCUAAGUUAAUUCCAUUGUGGGUCAAGAGAGCAUACUUUGUAUGGCUUCAAACAUUUUAAAUUUAUUGUGACUUGUUUUAUAGCCCAGAAGAUGGUCUAUCUUGGUAAAUGUUUUGUGUGCACUUUAGAAAAAUAUAUAUGAUGCUAGUGUUGGGUGGAGUGUUCUCUACAUAUCAGUCAGAUCAAGUUGGUUGAUAUCCUUGUUUAAAUCUACUAUACCCUUGCUGAUUUUCUGCCUGCUUGUUUUAUAAAUUAUUGAGAGGGGAAUAUUGAAAGUUCCAAGUGUAACUGAAUUUGUUUCACUUUGCCAUUCCCUCAGUUUUCGCUUCAUGUACUAUGAGGCUCCAUUAUUAGAUGCGUAAACAUGUAGGACUAUUAUGUUCCCCUGAUGAACUGGCCUCUUCUUCUUUAUGAAAUGAUCAUCUCUAUCCGUGAUAGAUUUUUUUGCUCUGAAAUACUCAUUGUGUGAUAUUGAUAUAGUCCUUCCAGCUCCCUUUAGCCUAGCAUCUUUUUCCAUACUUCUCUUUUAACCUAUUUGUGUCUUUAUCUGUAAAGAGCAAUUCCAUCAGGCAGAACACAGUUAAGCCUUCCUUUUCUAUCCAGUAUGGUCAUCCCUGCUUUUUAAUUGAUUAUUUAGAACAUUUUAAUGUGAUUGUUGGCAUGUUUGGAUUUCAAGCUACCAUCUUAGCUGUUUAUUUUCUCUAUAUUCCAUCUCUUCUUCUUUGCUCCCUUAUUCCUCUCUUUCUACUCCCCCUUUUUUCCUUGGAUUAUGUGUUCUUUUGCUGGCUUCUUAGUUAUGAUACUUUGUACUUUUAUUUUAAUGAUUACUUUAGGGUUUAUAGCAUAUAAUUUUUAUAAACUUUUUUAAAUUUUGAAAUAAUUACAAGCUCACAGGAAGUGUUAAAGAUAGUACAGAGGAGUCCCAUGUACCCUGCGCCCAAUGGUUACAUCUUAACGUAACUAUAGUAUAAUGUCAAAACCAGGAAACUGACAUUGGUACAAUGUGUGUGUAUAGUUAUAUGCCAUUUUUUCACAUGGCUGCAUGGAUUCAUGUAUCCACCACUACAAUCGAUAUGCAGAACUGUUCCAUCACCACAAAGAUGCCCAUUGUGCUGCCUAUAGUCAUAUCAAUCCCUUCCUCUGUCACCAUCUAACCCAUAACAACCACUGAUUUGUACUCCAUCUCUAUAACUGGACAUUGUGAGAAUGUUAUAGAAGUAGAACUAUACAGUAUGUGACAUUUUGAGAUUGACUUUUUUCACUCCAUCCAAAUUGUUGCAACCAUCAAUAGUUUACUUCUUUUUAUUGCUGAGUAGUAUGCCAUGACGUGAAUGUAUUCAGUAUUAUAGUUUGUUAAACUGUUCUCCAAUUAAAACACAGUUUUUUUUGGCUAUUACGAAUAAAGCUGCCUUGAACACUCUUGUAUAGAUUUUUGUCUAGCUGUAAUUUUUUUUCUCUCUGGGAUAAAUACCCAAGAGAAUGAUUCCUGGGUUGUAUAAUAAGUGUAUGUUUAAGAAACUACCAGACUUUUCCAGAGUAGCUGUGCCAUCUUAUAUUCCUACCAGCAAGGCAGGAGAGAUAAAUAUUCUCUGCAUCCUCAUCAGCAUUUUGUAGUUCCACUAUUUUUUUUUAUUUUAGCUGUUCUAAUAGGUAUAUAAUGAAAUCUCAUUGUGGUCAAAAUGUGCAUUCCCUAAUGGCUAGUGAUUUUGAGCCUAUUUUCAUAAGCUUAUUUGCCAUCUCUAUAUCCUAUUUGGUAGAUGUUUCUUCAUGUCUUUUGCCCAUGAUCAAAUUGGAUUUUCUUUUUAGUUUGCGUUAACUGUUGAGUUUUGAAAGUUUCUUUUAAUAUCUUCUAGAUGUGAGUCUUUUGUUAGUUAUAUAGUUUUCAAAUACUUUUUCACUGUCUGUAGCUUGUCUUUGCAACUUCUUAGGUCCUUUUAUGCAAAAGUUCUAAAUUUUAAUGAAGUCCAGUUUACUGACUUUUUCUUUCAUGGAUUAUGCUUUUGGUGUUAGUGAGCUAUUGUGAGUUAAUUUUUGUAUAAGGUGUGAGAUUUAGGUUGACAUUCAUUUUAUGUUUUUGCCUAUAGAUACCAAGUUGCCCAGCACUGUUUGGUGAAAAAACUAUCCUUCCUCCAUUGAAUUAUUUUUGUACCUUUAUCAAAAAUCAGUUGUCUGUUGCUUGUGUGUCUGUUUCUUGUUUAUCUGUUCUGUUCCAUUGAUCUCUGUGUCUGUCCACAUAACGUUAAUUACUAUAGUUAUGUAAUUCUUGCAGUCAGGUACAGUUAAUUCUUCCUAAUUUAUUCUCCUUUUCAAAAUUGUAUUAGCUAUUUUAGUUCCUUUCCUUUCCAUAUAAAUUUUAAAAUACACUAAUCUAUAUCCACCCAAGAAAUCUUGCUGGAAUUUUGAAAGGAAGUGUGUUAAAUUUGUAUAACAAUUUAGAGAGAAUUGACAUCCUUUCCAUAUUGAAUCUUCCAAUUCAUGAACAUGAUAUAUUACUCCACUUAUUUAGGUCUUCUGUAGUUUCUUUCAUUAUUUUUUUGUAGCAUUUAACAUACAAGUUCUGUACAUGUUUUGUUAGAUUUGUACCUGAGUAUUUUAUUUUUUGAGGAAUUAUAAUUGGUACUGUAUUAUUAAAUACAGUUUCCCUGUGUACAUUGCUAGCUUAUUGAAAUACAGUUGUUUUUUGUGUGGGUGUCUUAUAUCAUAUGAUCUUGUUUAGGUCAGUUACUAAUUCUAGGAGGUUUUCUGUAAAUUCCUUGGGAUUUUCUACAAAGAAAAUGUCACUUGCAAAUUGGAAUCAAUUUAUUUCUUCCUUUCCAAAUGAAGUCCUUGUAUUUCCUUUUCGUUGCUUAUUACACUGACUAGAACUUCCAGCACCAUGCUGGAUGAGAACAGUGAGAGCAGACAUCCUUGUCUUGUUCCCAGCCUUAGGGGGAAAGCAUUCAGUCUUUCAUUAGUAAAUAUGUUAGCUGUAGGGUUUUUUGUAGAUGUUCUUUAUCAAGUCAAUGAAACUCCUCUCUAUUCCUAGUUUUCUAAGAGUUUUUAUCAUGAAUGGUUGUUGAAUUUUAUCAAAUGCUUUUUCCACAACAAGGGAUAAAAUUAUGUAUAAUUAUUAAUGAUAUAAUUUAUUAUUAUAUUAUAGUUAUUAAUAAUAUAAAAUUAUUCUCUUUAGCCUGUUAAUAAUAUGUUCUUCUAUAUCUGGUAUGUGUUUUUACUCUUGCUGCUUUUAAGAGUUUCUCUUGUCACUGAUAUUGAGCAAUUUGAUUAUGACAUAUAUUGGUUGGUAUAGUUUUUCAUGUUUCUUAUCCCAGGGGUUCCUGCUAAUCUUUUUAGGUGGUUCUUUCUGGCCCCAGAUAGUUUACUCUGUGAAUACUCCAGGUGGACCAUCUCUAGAUCUCUGGAGUUCUGUCUCUGUGAAACUUACUCUUCUCUGGUACUCUGUCCUCUCAAUUCUAGCCAACAUCAUCUACUCAGACUCUUAGCUCUGCAUGUCAACUCAGGGAGUCCACCAGGCUCUGCAUGGAUUUUUCCUCUCUGUUCUGCAGUCUGGGAACUCUCUCAAGGCAAUAAGCUAGGGACAUUAUAAGGCUCACCGUGUUUCCUUUCCUUCUCUCAGUGAUCACUAUCCUUCAUUGCCUGAUGUAUGCUGCUUUGAAAAACAUUAUCUCCAGUACUUUGCCUUUGUCUGUUUUGUUUUGUUUUGUUUUUGUUUUCUGUUUGUUUCAGGUGAAAGAAUCCAUCUAGUCCCUGUUUAUUAAUAACAUUAUGUCUGAAUGCUAAAUUAUCCUUUAAAGAGAUUUUUUUAAGUUUUUUAAAGUCUUUUAUAUUUACCCAUAUUCUUUCCUUUUCUAAUGUUCUUCAUUCCUUAAUAUAGCUUCAGAUUUCCAUAUGGUAUCAUUUUCCUUCUGCCUGAAAUACAUUAACAUUUAUGACAGACAUGUCUGCUGCUGUUAAAUUCUUUCAACAUUUUUCUAUCUGAAAAAGUAUUAUUUUGUUUUUAUUUUUGAGAGCUGUAUAGAAUUCUAACUUGACAGGGUUUUCUUUCUUUCAUUACUUUAAAGAUCUUAUGCUGUCAUCUUCUAGUUUGCAUUUUUUCUACUGUUGUUCUAAUCUUUUAUCCUCUGGCUGCUUUUACAAUUUUCUCUAUUUUUAGUUUUAAGCAAUUUGAUUAUGGUGUGCGUUGGUGUUGUUUUCUCCAGUUUCUUUCUGCUUGGAAUUUCUUGAGUUUCUAAUCUGUGGAUUUAUAGUUUUCAUGAAAUUUGGAGACGUUUUGGCCAUUGCAUUUUCAAAUAUUUGUUUGCCUAUCUCCUGUCCCUUUUUUGUAGGAUUUCAAUUAUACUUAUAUUAGACUAUUUGAAGUUGUUUCACAACUUACUUGUACUUAUUUUUUUCUUUUUUUAAAUUUGUUUUCACUCUCCAUUUUAUUUUGGAUAGUUUCUAUUCCUGUUGUGAAUUUCACUGAUAUUCUCUUCUGCAGUUAUUUGUCAUUAAUCCCAUCUUUUUUAUCUCAGAUAUUGCCUAUCUCUAGUUCUUUUUUUUAAUUUCUUGAAUUCAUAUAAUUAAUAUGCUUAGUCUUUUCUCCACCUUCUGGAAUAUAUGGGAUAUAGUUUUAAUAGCAGUUUUAAUAUCUUUAUUUGUUGAGUCUAUCAUCUCUGUCAUUUUUGACUUUGUUUUAAUUAAUUUUUCUUUUUAUUAAGAAUAAAUUUUUUUGCUUCCUUUAUAUGCCUAUUGAUUUUUUAUUGGAUUUCAGACAUUGUGAAUUCUACAUUGUUAAGUGCUAGAUCAGUUUGCAUUUCUAUAAAUAUUUAUGAGCUUUGCCAUGGAAUGCAGUUAAGUUACUUGGAAAGUACUUAGAAGUAUUUUGAUCCUUUCAGGCUUCCUUUUAAGCUUUCUUAGGUAGUACGAGAGCAGUGUUUGCUCCAGGACUAACUUUGCCCCACCGUUCAAGCAACACAUGUUUGAGUACUCUAGCUGAUACUCACUGGAUUGUGAUGUUUUACACUCUGACUAGUGGGAAAUCAAAUUUCUCCCAGUCCUCUCUGAGCCUCAGUGAUCAUUCCUUCUGUUCCUUCUAGGUAGUUCAUACUUGCCUUACACAAAUCUGUUGGUUAGUACUCUGCUGAAGAUUUGAAGGGGACCCUCUGAAGAUCUCUGGCAGUCUUGCAGCCGUCCAGUACUCUGUCAUGUGAACUCGAAGCUCCUUGACUUUCUGGACUCCCAACUCUGUCUCCUCCUUCAGCUCCAUCUGGGUCUCCAUCUCCAUGCUGUAGCCUUGAAACUCUUCACACAUUAUGUUUUAUUCAGUAGACAAAACUGAGGACUUAAGCCUGGGGCACAGCAUCUCAGAUAAAUCUGAGGGACGGCUCUGAAGAGAGGAGAACCUCUAUUUCAAUAUUGAAUAAAAGUAACAAGAGUGGACAACCUUGUUUCCAUUCCCAGCAUCGGGAAAUCUUUCAACAAAUCACAACUAAAUAUAAUGUAGAUAUUUUGUAGAUACCUUUCAUCAGAUUAAGGAAGUUUCCUUCUAUUCUUAGAUUCUGAGUGUUUAUCAUGAACGGAUAUUGAAUUUUAUUUUUCUGUAACUAUAAAGAUGAUGAAGAUAAAAGAAAAUCCACAUGACUUUUCUCCCCUUUUCUCUUCAUGUGGUAGAUCACAUUGAUUGAGUUUUGAAUUUUGAACCCCAUUUGGUCAUGAUGCUCUAUUCCUUUUAUGUAUUGCUGGAUUUGGUUUGUUAAUAUUUUGUUUAGAAUUUUUUAAUCUCUGUUCCUAAGAUAAAUUUGCCUGUAAUUUUCCUAUUUAUAAUGUUCUUAUCAGGUUUUUCUAUCAAAGUUUAAUUACAUUAUAAAAUAAGUUAGGAAGUGUUCCUUUUUUCCUAUUCUCUAGAAGAGUUUUUAUAAUAUUGGUUUUAUUGCUUCCUUAAAUGUCUGGGAGAAUUCACAAGUGAAACUAUCUGGGCUUAGAGUUUUCUUUUGGUGGAGAUUAUUUAAUAUUAUUUAAAUAUUUCAGAUUUAUUAGCAUAUAAUUAUUAAUAAUUGUCUCAUUAUGUUUUGAAUAUCUGUACAAAACAUAGUGAUGGCCUCUUUUACUAGAGGCUAAUUUGAGCCCUUUCUCUCUUUCGCGCUCUCUCUCUCCCUCUCUCCCUGCUUUUAAAACUGAUUGAGACAUGCCUUAAAGUCCAGCAUACUGUUGACUUUAGUAAAUGUUCUAUGUGCACUGCAAACAAAUGUAUAUUUUGUUAUUAGUUACUAGUUUAUCCAUU